rnacentral:rRNA from 1 species
CCUACGGGUGGCAGCAGUGGGGAAUAUUGGACAAUGGGGGGAACCCUGAUCCAGCGACGCCGCGUGAGUGAAGAAGUAUUUCGGUAUGUAAAGCUCUAUCAGCAGGGAAGAAAAUGACGGUACCUGACUAAGAAGCCACGGCUAACUACGUGCCAGCAGCCGCGGUAAUACGGAGGGGGCAAGCGUUAGCCGGAUUUACUGGGUGUAAAGGGAGCGUAGUCGGUGCAGCAAGUCUGCUGUGAAAGGCCGGGGUCCAACCCCGGGACUGCAUUGGAAACUGUGGGUCUGGAGUACAGGAGAGGUAAGCGGAAUUCCUAGUGUAGCGGUGAAAUGCGUAGAUAUAAGGAGGAACACCAGUGGCGAAGGCGGCUUGCUGGACUGUAACUGACGUUGAGGCUCGAAAGCGUGGGGAGCAAACAGGAUUAGAUACCCUUGUAGUC